CCCGCAAAGCGGCUGGCCACCUUGACGUGGUUUGCGGGCUUAAGCCCCGAGCUGUCUUGGGGCGAACUAAGAGCCAG
rnacentral:ribozyme from 1 species